rnacentral:rRNA from 1 species
CACGUAGUUAGCCGGUGCUUCUUCUGCAGGUACCGUCACUUGCGCUUCGUCCCUACUGAAAGAGGUUUACAACCCGAAGGCCGUCAUCCCUCACGCGGCGUCGCUGCAUCAGGCUUUCGCCCAUUGUGCAAUAUUCCCCACUGCUGCCUCCCGUAGGAGUCUGGGCCGUAUCUCAGUCCCAAUGUGGCCGAUCACCCUCUCAGGCCGGCUACCCGUCGUCGCCUUGGUAGGCCAUUACCCCACCAACAAGCUGAUAGGCCGCGGGCUCAUCCUGCACCGAAAAACUUUCCACCAAACCCCAUGAGGAGAAAGGUCCUAUCCGGUAUUAGACCCAGUUUCCCAGGCUUAUCCCAGAGUGCAGGGCAGAUUGCCCACGUGUUACUCACCCGUUCGCCACUCGAGCACUCCAGCAAGCUGGAGCCUUUCCGUCGACUUGCAUGUGUUAAGCACGCCGCCAGCGUCGUCCUGAGCCAGGAUCAAACUCU